rnacentral:rRNA from 1 species
CCUACGGGAGGCAGCAGUGAGGAAUAUUGGUCAAUGGGCGAAACCCUGAUCCAGCGACGCCGCGUGAAUGAAGAAUUAUUUCUGUGUGUAAAGCUCUAUCAGCAGGGAAGUAAGAAAUGACGGUACCUGACUAAGAAGCCCCCGCUAACUACGUGCCAGCAGCCGCGGUGAUACGUCGGCGGCAAGCGUUAUCCGGAUUUAAUGGGUGUAAAGGGAGCGUAGACGGCGAUGUAAGUCUGAAGUGAAAGUCGGGGGCUCAACCGACGGAUUGCUUUGGAUACUGUAUGGCUGGAGUGCAGGGGAGGUAAGUGGAAUUCGUAGUGUAGCGGUGAAAUGCGUAGAUAUUAGGAGGAACCCCAGUGGCGAAGGCGGCUUACUGGACUGUAACUGACGUUGAGGCUCGAAAGCGUGGGGAGCAAACAGGAUUAGAUACCCGAGUAGUC